CCUACGGGAGGCAGCAGUGAGGAAUAUUGCUCAAUGGACGAGAGUCUGAACCAGCCACGUAGCGUGAAGGAUGACUGCCCUAUGGGUUGUAAACUUCUUUUAUAUGGGAAUAAACUGUUCCACGUGUGGGAUUUUGUAUGUACCAUAUGAAUAAGGAUCGGCUAACUCCGUGCCAGCAGCCGAGGUAAUACGGAGGAUCCGAGCGUUAUCCGGAUUUAGUGGGUUUAACGGGAGCGUAGGUGGAUUGUUAAGUCAGUUGUGAAAGCUUGCGGCUCAACCGUGAAAGUGCAGUUGAAACUGGCAGUCUUGAGUACAGUAGAGGUGGGCGGAAUUCGUGGUGUAGCGGUGAAAUGCGUAGAUAUCACGAAGAACUCCGAUUGCGAAGGCAGCUCACUGGACUGCAACUGACACUGAGGCUCGAAAGUGUGGGUAUCAAACAGGAUUAGAUACCCGAGUAGUC
rnacentral:rRNA from 1 species